AUGACGACGGGGAACUUCGGGCUCCGCAGCGACGACGGUGGGGAGGUAGAGGCGGGCGUGGAUGUUGGCCGCGGGGUCAAGGACGACGUCCUUGGAAGCGACGCCAUUGGCGGUCGACCCGGCCGCUCUUAUGCACGCGCAGGACGCCCGGCAUAUCGUACUCCAGCUCCAGCUUUAGCAGGGCUAGGUGUCGGGACGAGGUACGGUCGGGUGUCUCCGCUAGCUCCUCGGCCGGCCGCCGCCGAUCAUAUACGCGAGAGGCUCUCGCCGAGAGCAUACAUACAGAUCAGCAUUGGGAGCAUCCAGAUCGAGAGUCUGACUACGUUUCCAGUCACCGUGAGCAAGCAGACAAGCAGCUGGAUGGAUAUGUCAUAUGUGCCUUCCGGCCGGAAGGAAUCAAUUGAUGCAGAGCUUGUGAUCCGGCGGAACCAAUCAGAAAGUGUGCACCUCUCCUCUCCAAUAAUGUGGUUGGUGGAGUAG
rnacentral:rRNA from 1 species